rnacentral:rRNA from 1 species
AGUGAACGCUGGCGGUAGGCCUAACACAUGCAAGUCGAACGGCAGCACAGUAAGAGCUUGCUCUUACGGGUGGCGAGUGGCGGACGGGUGAGGAAUACAUCGGAAUCUACUUUUUCGUGGGGGAUAACGUGGGGAAACUUACGCUAAUACCGCAUACGACCUACGGGUGAAAGCAGGGGAUCUUCGGACCUUGCGCGAUUGAAUGAGCCGAUGUCGGAUUAGCUAGUUGGCGGGGUAAAGGCCCACCAAGGCGACGAUCCGUAGCUAGUCUGAGAGGAUGAUCAGCCACACUGGAACUGAGACACGGUCCAGACUCCUACGGGAGGCAGCAGUGGGGAAUAUUGGACAAUGGGCGCAAGCCUGAUCCAGCCAUACCGCGUGGGUGAAGAAGGCCUUCGGGUUGUAAAGCCCUUUUGUUGGGAAAGAAAAGCAGCAGGUUAAUACCCCGCUGUUCUGACGGUACCCAAAGAAUAAGCACCGGCUAACUUCGUG